AGGUACCGUCAAGCAAUAAGCCUGUUUGACUUACUACAGUUCUUCCCUCCUAACAGGAGUUUACGACUCGAAAGCCUUCGUCCUCCACGCGGCGUUNNUGGGUCAGGCUUUCGCCCAUUGCCCAAUAUUCCUC
rnacentral:rRNA from 1 species